rnacentral:rRNA from 1 species
GACGAACGCUGGCGGCGUGCCUAAUACAUGCAAGUAGAACGCUGAAGGAGGAGCUUGCUUCUCCGGAUGAGUUGCGAACGGGUGAGUAACGCGUAGGUAACCUGCCUGGUAGCGGGGGAUAACUAUUGGAAACGAUAGCUAAUACCGCAUAACAGUAGAUGUUGCAUGACAUUUGCUUAAAAGGUGCAAUUGCAUCACUACCAGAUGGACCCGCGUUGUAUUAGCUAGUUGGUGAGGUAACGGCUCACCAAGGCGACGAUACAUAGCCGACCUGAGAGGGUGAUCGGCCACACUGGGACUGAGACACGGCCCAGACUCCUACGGGAGGCAGCAGUAGGGAAUCUUCGGCAAUGGACGGAAGUCUGACCGAGCAACGCCGCGUGAGUGAAGAAGGUUUUCGGAUCGUAAAGCUCUGUUGUAAGAGAAGAACGAGUGUGAGAGUGGAAAGUUCACACUGUGACGGUAGCUUACCAGAAAGGGACGGCUAACUACGUG